CGAGCAGUAGCUCAAUGGUAGAGCUCCCGUUUCGUAUGCGGGAAGACCUGGGUUCCAUUCCCGGCUGCUUAC
rfam:Toxocara canis scaffold1942, whole genome shotgun sequence.